GGAAUAUUGGUCAAUGGGUGAGAGCCUGAACCAGCCAUGCCGCGUGCAGGAAGACGGCCUUCUGGGUUGUAAACUGCUUUUGCCAGGGGAUAAAAUUUCCAUGCGUGGAGAAUUGAAGGUACCUGGUGACUAAGCCACGGCUAACUACGUGCCAGCAGCCGCGGUAAUACGUAGGUGGCAAGCGUUGUCCGGAUUUAUUGGGUUUAAAGGGUGCGUAGGCGGCCUAUUAAGUCAGUGCUGAAAUAUCCCGGCUUAACCGGGAGGGUGGCAUUGAUACUGCGGGGCUUGAGUACAGAUGAGGUAGGCGGAAUUGACGGUGUAGCGGUGAAAUGCAUAGAUAUCGUCAAGAACACCGAUAGCGAAGGCAGCUUACUAAGUUGUAACUGACGCUGAUGCACGAAAGUGUGGGGAUCAAA
rnacentral:rRNA from 1 species